AUUGAACGCUGGCGGCAUGCCUUACACAUGCAAGUCGAACGGCAGCACGGGUGCUUGCACCUGGUGGCGAGUGGCGAACGGGUGAGUAAUACAUCGGAACAUGUCCUGUAGUGGGGGAUAGCCCGGCGAAAGCCGGAUUAAUACCGCAUACGAUCUACGGAUGAAAGCGGGGGACCUUCGGGCCUCGCGCUAUAGGGUUGGCCGAUGGCUGAUUAGCUAGUUGGUGGGGUAAAGGCCUACCAAGGCGACGAUCAGCAGCUGGUCUGAGAGGACGACCAGCCACACUGGGACUGAGACACGGCCCAGACUCCUACGGGAGGCAGCAGUGGGGAAUUUUGGACAAAGGGCGAAAGCCUGAUCCAGCAAUGCCGCGUGUGUGAAGAAGGCCUUCGGGUUGUAAAGCACUUUUGUCCGGAAAGAAAUCCUUGGCCCUAAUACGGUCGGGGGAUGACGGUACCGGAAGAAUAAGCACCGGCUAACUACGUG
rnacentral:rRNA from 1 species